CGGCGGACGGGUGAGUAACGCGUGGGUAACCUGCCUCAUACAGGGGGAUAACAGUUAGAAAUGACUGCUAAUACCGCAUAAGACCACAGCACCGCAUGGUGCAGGGGUAAAAACUCCGGUGGUAUGGGAUGGACCCGCGUCUGAUUAGGUAGUUGGUGGGGUAACGGCCUACCAAGCCGACGAUCAGUAGCCGACCUGAGAGGGUGACCGGCCACAUUGGGACUGAGACACGGCCCAA
rnacentral:rRNA from 1 species